AGCAUCUCAGAAGGGUCAUGCUGGAGCAGCUAUAGCGUAUGGAUCCCUUUUACUCACAGGUGUGGAACUUCCAGAAUCAAUAACAAAAUUUUAUGUGAAGAGGGGGUCAUCAAGCAGAAUAUCAAGGAGGAACGGCGUUGAUGCUGAGCUUAAUCCGAUUGAGCUUGCCAGAGAACAAUUUGAAAUUGCUGCAAAAGCAGGAUCGGACCUUGGAUUUAGAUGGUUACAAAGAAUUGAGGAGGAAGUGAAACGUCUGCAGUCUUCCUAGCUCACGAAUAUCUGAGACAGAGUCGAUUGGUUAACUUACCUACAAGGGUAAGUUCAUAGCACUUAUACAUCUGAUGUAAGCCAUCUCUUGUUCUUUCAUUUUAGAUUGAGAUUGAUUUCUGGGAAUGAGUGACAAGUUCUACGACGCGUCAACGGUUGCAGCUGCUAAGAUAUCUUGGGAAUGAUGUGGAUCAGAGUUAAGAGCAAGCUGGUAAUACAAGUAAUACAAGUAACUAAACAACCCUUGAUUGAAGUUCAUAUCAGUCUAUAUAAUAGGAUCAACUAGUAUUUCAGAGAUGACACAUUUCAAGUUAUUUUUGGAAAAAGUAUAAGCAUCUGCCGGGCGUUUCGACGGAGUUAAUACCGUAACUCAUUUUUGCGGGCUCGCUUGCUUUAUUCUUCUCCUUCCCCUCACUAUACAGCUCCCAUUAUCUUUGAACUCUUUCAUUAAUUGGUAACAACUACAACACUCUGAAAUAAAAUCUCCA
rnacentral:misc_RNA from 1 species